UACGGGGGGAGCAAGCGUUGUUCGGAUUUACUGGGCGUAAAGGGCGCGUAGGCGGCCUGCUAAGUCGAACGUGAAAUCCCCGGGCUCAACCCGGGAACUGCGUCCGAUACUGGUUGGCUUGAAUCCGGGAGAGGGAUGCGGAAUUCCAGGUGUAGCGGUGAAAUGCGUAGAUAUCUGGAGGAACACCGGUGGCGAAGGCGGCAUCCUGGACCGGAAUUGACGCUGAGGCGCGAAAGCCAGGGGAGCAAACGGG
rnacentral:rRNA from 1 species